rnacentral:rRNA from 1 species
UGAGGAAUAUUGGGCAAUGCCCGCAAGGGUGACCCAGCAACGCCGCGUGGAGGAUGAAUGUCGUAAGAUUGUAAACUCCUGUUAGAGGGGAAGAAUAGUACCGGUUGGACCGGUAUAUGACUGUACCCUCAGUGAAAGCCCCGGCUAACUACGUGCCAGCAGCCGCGGUAAUACGGAGGGUGCAAGCGUUAAUCGGAAUUACUGGGCGUAAAGCGUGCGCAGGCGGUUUGUUAAGUCUGCUGUGAAAUCCCCGAGCUCAACUUGGGAAUUGCAGUGGAUACUGGCAAGCUGGAGUACGGGAGAGGAAGGUGGAAUUCCCGGUGUAGCAGUGAAAUGCGUAGAGAUCGGGAGGAACACCAGUGGCGAAGGCGGCCUUCUGGACCAGUACUGACGCUCAUGCACGAAAGCGUGGGGAGCAAACA